rnacentral:rRNA from 1 species
AUUGAACGCUGGCGGCAGGCCUAACACAUGCAAGUCGAACGAGUGGCGGACGGGUGAGUAAUGUCUGGGAAACUGCCUGAGGGAGGGGGAUAACUACGGGAAACGGUAGCUAAUACCGCAUAGCAUCAGAUGUGAACAGAUGGGAUUAGCUUGUUGGUGGGGUAACGGCUCACCAAGGCGACGAUCCACAGCGGGCCUGAGAGGAUGACCGGCCACACUGGAACUGAUACACGGUCCAGACUCCUACGGGAGGCAGCAGUGGGGAAUAUUGCACAAUGGGCGCAAGCCUGAUGCAGCCAUGCCGCUUGUAUGAAGAAGGCCUUCGGAUUGUAAAGUACUUUCAUCGGGGAGGCGUUACCCGCAGAGUAAGCACCGGCUAACUCCGUGCCAGCAGCCGCGGUAAUAC